GCCGCUUUAGCUCAGUGGUAGAGCAACGCACUUGUAAUGCGUAGGUCCGGGGUUCGAGUCCCCGAAGCGGCUCCA
rnacentral:tRNA from 1 species